UGACUCCUUAAGGGUCCUGAAGGAACGUUGAAGACGACGACGUUGAUAGGCCGGGUGUGUAAGCGCAGCGAUGCGUUGAGCUAACCGGUACUAAUGAACCGUGAGGCUUAACCUUACAACGCCGAAGCUGUU
rnacentral:rRNA from 1 species